CAACCCAGUGAGAUGAGGAAACUGAAACACACGGCAGGGAAAUAAACAACUACUUAGUAAUGUGAGCUGGGCGCCCCGCGAUUACCUACAUUCCACCGGAUAAGAAAUUCAGAGGAGACGAGUGUGUGAACUGUGCAUAGUGACCUCCUUCCAGAGGGGACAGUGUGGAAAAGAGUAGCUGCACAAUGGAGAAAGCUGACCAACGCAGCCUCAGCCAGGUCAUCAGGGCGGAUGUCCACAGUGACAAGUCAUGUUGAUGGCAGCGUUGAGCCACUACUGCUGGGUGUCUGCUCCUGGGGUUGGCCCUGAAUCACCCCUCUGGAUUCCUGGGACUCUCGGAACUUUGGGAUCCAGAGAAGGGAGCUCUUCCAUCCUGGGACCCACGACUGCCCACGCUGUUGAGCUUUCUGAGGGCAGGGACCCUGUUUUCUCUCUCGGAGCCAAGGCUCCAUGUUGGAACUGGCCCUGACAGUGUCUGUUAAACUUUCACGAAACGGAUGUUCCUGAACUUGAAGCCGUAGGACAGGACUCUGAAGAUCACUGAAUCACAUAGUGAGAGAAUGAUCCAGUCCUUCUUAUAACAGCAAGAAGAGUGUCUCGGGUUGGUUCGAGGAUGUCUUUAACAACUCUCUCACCCUUGCGCAUCUCCACAUAGAACCAAGAACAGGCGGGUCCUAGACUCAUACUCUGGUGGACGAAUGUGUCCAACAAAAGUAACAGCAUUACUUUAGAGUUAUCUUCAAUGUAUAUCAAGUGAUACUGGUUUUCCAUUUAUAAUGGCAACAUACCUUCCCUUACUUUUUUUUUUUUUAAUUUUAAUUCAAUUUUGGACAUACAGAAAAGUUACAAGCAUAAUAGAGUUCCUGGAUACCUUUGACCCAGAUUCCCUUAGUGUUAAUAUUUUCUCCCUCUCUCUCUCUUUCUCUCCCCCUACCUUCCCCACCAAACUACCUACCUAACUACACACACACACACUUUUUUCCUGAACUAUUUAAAAGCAUGCUGUUCUUUCACUGCCUGUCCUGGUAAUGUCCUUUCUGGCAAAAGAAAACCCCAGUCCAUGCCUUGCAUUCAGUCGAGAUGCCUCUUUUUUUUUUUCUUUUUUG